UACGUAGGGCGCAAGCGUUAUCCGGAAUUAUUGGGCGUAAAGAGCGCGCAGGCGGUCGUUCAAGUCGCGUGUGAAAGCCCCCGGCUCAACUGGGGAGGGUCACGCGAUACUGAUCGACUCGAAGGCAGGAGAGGGUAGUGGAAUUCCCGGUGUAGUGGUGAAAUGCGUAGAUAUCGGGAGGAACACCAGUGGCGAAGGCGACUACCUGGCCUGUUCUUGACGCUGAGGCGCGAAAGCUAGGGGAGCAAACGGG
rnacentral:rRNA from 1 species